rnacentral:lncRNA from 1 species
GCUCCCAUGAAAACCCAAUGGAAGAGCAACGUGUGGGGAAACCCCAAAGGAAGGGGAAUGCUUUGGGAAACCCCUCGUGGUCUCUUGUCCUAAAAACGCGGGAUUUUAACCCAAAAUAAAAAGCUGGGGGGGGGGAGGGGCCUGUGUGGGUACUCACGGCCAUGCUGGGGCUGGAUUUGGUGAGGUACACCACGGUGGGGUAGAACUGGUGCUUCAGGUAAUAGGCGUGGGCCACCACGGCCGUGGUCAGAGCCAAACUGCCCAGCAUCACCACCGCCGUGCACAGCAUGGUCGCGGCACGGCCGCCAGAGACAGAACUAAAGCAUCAGAUCAGGCCCAAAAAUGAGUUGUAGGGCCACACUGAGCACGAGAAUGAUUUCUGGGGCCAAACUAGACAAAAAAAUUGCAUCAUAGUGACAAAAAACCAUAAUAAAACGGCAGCAAAUGUGGGGUGAAAUCGCAGCUGUUUGGUUAAACCUGGAAAUCCUUUGUGUUCACCAAAUCCCAACGGCUGACCCCAAAUCCGGGCCUCAUUCGGUCUCCCCAUCCCCAGAUUGCCUCUCUCAACCCCCC